CCGGAGCGCCCCGGAGGCCGGGCUCCGCGCUCGUCCCGCAAGGGCAUCGCCUUCGGGAAGCGCUCCAACUCCAUGAAGAGGAACCCCAACGCCGCCGUCACCAAGAGCGGGUGGCUCUACAAGCAGGCCAGCUCGGGGGUGAAGCAGUGGAACAAGCGCUGGUUCGUGCUGGUGGAUCGGUGCCUCUUCUACUACAAAG